GUCUCAAAUCUCAUCUAUUUGUACAGGCCUUUCAAUCUGUCUGCAUUGUUGGGAUACCAUAUUCAUUUGAUCUGAGCUGUACUGUGUAAGUUAAAUUGUUAUUUAUACUGUUAUUUAUUUUAUGUUCUCAUUUGUUUUUGAAUGUUGCUGUAAGCUAGUUUUCUUUAAUCUGAAGGAUGGGGUGUUGAAUAAGUGAAUCAAUGAAUGAAUGAGUGAGUGAAAUAUGGCAAAAAAAGUAUCCAAAAUAUCCUUAAUAUCUGUUUUUUUUAAGAAAUUAUAUUUGUAAAUAUAAGAAAGGGAAGUGAGGGAGGAAAUAAAAACAUCGCCAGCUGACCCUCACAAUGAAAAUAUUCCGUCAAUCCUGAUUUAAAUGCAUAGAUGAAUAUAAGCAGUCCAUCUGUCUAAAUAAGUAAUUAAUCAAGAUUGAUUAUUAUAAGAUUGAUUAUUAUUAUUUUUUGCUUUCAAAGGUAGAAAGCUCAGUGAGAUCUUCAGACCACUGAGUUGUGGAUCAUGGGUGUUUGACCUUCCAGCUUUGCAGCAAAUGUUUCUUAGCCAUCACAAGGUCUCACUUUUGUUGUCCAUCUGCUAGUUCCCAAGACACGAUGAUAUAAAGUAAGAGUGUAUGAACAUCCACAAGCAUCAAGGAUUUCUUCAAGACAAGGUUAACAUAAAUGUACUGUGGGAGGGGGG